CGCGUUUCUCCGUGCGGUAUAUAAGCACGGCACUUCCCGCUAAUAAAUGAGACUUGAUCAGAGCACUGUCUUGUCUCCAUUCUUCGUGUCUCUUGUCCCUUUAUAAUCCCCACUCCCCCUCUAGGGUCUUAGUUGACUGUACCCGCGGGCCGGAACAUCUAGGCAAACCAUUAAAGAAAAUGUGUCCUUGCCAGAUCCCAGCAAAUGGGAACAUCACUUUGCAAAGGCUGAAUUCCAGUGGCCUUUUUGAUCAUGCGUAGUAAACAGCAAAGCUUUUUAGUAGAGAUGCAUGAAGCAAGAGCCUUCAAGGAGCAGGCUGCCGACUAGGAAAAAGGCCCACACCAAACCCUGGACCUGAAAGUGCUGCAGUUCUGGGCUUGCCCUCCUCCAAAACUGUGAAGAGGAAACAUGCUCGAUGCAGUAGCCCGUCCAUAGUCACUGCUUAUGGAAGCCCUACUUGACUAAGGU